CAAUAGCGUAUAUUAAAGUUGUUGCGGUUAAAAAGCUCGUAGUUGGAUUUCUGCCGAGGACGACCGGUCCGCCCUCUGGGUGAGUAUCUGGUUCGGCCUGGGCAUCUUCUUGGAGAACGUAUCUGCACUUGACUGUGUGGUGCGGUAUCCAGGACUUUUACUUUGAGGAAAUUAGAGUGUUUCACGCAGGCGUCCGCCUUGAAUACGUUAGCAUGGAAUAAUGCGACAGGACCUCGGUCCAUUUUGUUGGUUUCUUGGGUUGAGGUAAUGAUUAACAGGGAUGGUUGGGGGCGAUUCGUAUUUAACUGUCAGAGGUGAAAUUCUUGGAUUGUUAAAGACGGACUACUGCGAAAGCAUUUGCCAAGGAUGUUUUCUAUUGAUCAAGAACGAAAGUUAGGGGAUCGAAGAUGAUCAGAUACCAU
rnacentral:rRNA from 1 species